rnacentral:rRNA from 2 species
UAAGCGGAGGAAAAGAAACUAACAAGGAUUCCCCUAGUAACGGCGAGUGAAGCGGGAAGAGCUCAAAUUUGUAAUCUGGCACUUUCAGUGUCCGAGUUGUAAUCUCGAGAAGUGUUUUCCGCGCUGGACCGCAUACAAGUCUGUUGGAAUACAGCGUCAUAGUGGUGAGAACCCCGUAACUGAUGCGGACGCCCAGUGCUUUGUGAUACACUUUCGAAGAGUCGAGUUGUUUGGGAAUGCAGCUCAAAUUGGGUGGUAAAUUCCAUCUAAAGCUAAAUAUUGGCGAGAGACCGAUAGCGAACAAGUACCGUGAGGGAAAGAUGAAAAGCACUUUGGAAAGAGAGUUAACAGUACGUGAAAUUGUUGGAAGGGAAACGCUUGAAGUCAGACUUGCUUUUUGGAAUUCAGCCGCAAGGUGUACUUUUCAAUUUGGCAGGCCAGCAUCAGUUUUUGGGGGUGAAAAAGGGUAUAGAGAAGGUAGCAGUCUCGGCUGUGUUAUAGCUCUUUACUGGAUUCAUCCUUGGGGACUGAGGAACGCAGCACACUUUUUGCACGGUCUUCGGACUGUUCUGUGCUUAGGAUGCUGGUGGAAUGGCUUUAAACGACCCGUCUUGAAACACGGACCAAGGAGUCUAACAUGCUUGCGAGUGUUUGGGUGUCAAACCCGGACGCGCAAUGAAAGUGAAUGCAGGUGGGAACCGCAAGGUGCACCAUCGACCGAUCUGGAUCUUUUGAGAUGGAUUUGAGUAAGAGCAAUUAUGUUGGGACCCGAAAGAUGGUGAACUAUGCCUGAAUAGGGCGAAGCCAGAGGAAACUCUGGUGGAGGCUCGUAGCGGUUCUGACGUGCAAAUCGAUCGUCAAAUUUGGGUAUAGGGGCGAAAGACUAAUCGAACCAUCUAGUAGCUGGUUCCUGCCGAAGUUUCCCUCAGGAUAGCAGAAACUCACAUCAGUUCUAUGAGGUAAAGCGAAUGAUUAGAGGCCUUGGGGUUGAAACAACCUUAACCUAUUCUCAAACUUUAAAUAUGUAGGAAGUCCUUGCUUCUUAAUUGAGCGAGGACAUGCG